rnacentral:rRNA from 1 species
AGGUAGUGACGAAAAAUAACGAUACGGGACUCAUCCGAGGCCCCGUAAUCGGAAUGAGUAUACUUUAAAUCCUUAUGCGAGGAUCAAUUGGAGGGCAAGUCUGGUGCCAGCCGCCGCGGUAAUUCACAGCUCCAAUAGCGUAUAUUAAAGUUGUUGCGGUUAAAAAGCUCGUAGUUGAAUCUGUGUGCCACGCUGUCGGUUCACCGCUCGCGGUGCUCAACUGACAUGAUCGUGGGACGUCCUACCGGUGGGCUUAGCUCGUACCUCUCGGGGUCGGGCGGUCCGACAAUAUCCCAUCGCGGUGCUCUUCACUGAGUGCCGAGGUGGGCCGGUACGUUUACUUUGAACAAAUUAGAGUGCUUAAAGCAGGCUGUCCGUCGCCUGGAAUACUGUGUGCAUGGGAAUAAUGGGAAUAGACCUCGGUUCUAUUUUGUUGGUUUUCGGA